AUUGAACGCUGGCGGAAUGCUUUACACAUGCAAGUCGAACGGUAGAGGGGGCAACCCCUCGAGAGUGGCGAACGGGUGAGUAAUAUAUCGGAACGUGCCCAGUCGUGGGGGAUAACGUAGCGAAAGUUACGCUAAUACCGCAUACGAUCUAAGGAUGAAAGCGGGGGAUCGCAAGACCUCGCGCGAUUGGAGCGGCCGAUAUCAGAUUAGGUAGUUGGUGGGGUAAAGGCGCACCAAGCCAACGACCUGUAGCUGGUCUGAGAGGACGACCAGCCACACUGGAACUGAGACACGGUCCAGACUCCUACGGGAGGCAGCAGUGGGGAAUUUUGGACAAUGGACGCAAGUCUGAUCCAGCCAUUCCGCGUGCAGGAUGAAGGCCCUCGGGUUGUAAACUGCUUUUGUACGGAACGAAAAGGUCUCUCUUAAUACGGGGGACUCAUGACGGUACCGUAAGAAUAAGCACCGGCUAACUACGUGCCAGCAGCCGCGGUAA
rnacentral:rRNA from 1 species